UACGUAGGGUGCGAGCGUUGUCCGGAAUUAUUGGGCGUAAAGGGCUCGUAGGCGGUCUGUCACGUCGGGAGUGAAAACUCAGGGCUUAACCCUGAGCCUGCUUCCGAUACGGGCUGACUAGAGGUAUGCAGGGGAGAACGGAAUUCCAGGUGUAGCGGUGAAAUGCGUAGAUAUCUGGAGAACACCAAUUGCGAAGGCAGCUCGCUGGGACGUUACUGACGCUGAGACGGCGAAAAGC
rnacentral:rRNA from 1 species